rnacentral:rRNA from 1 species
UGUCUCAGUUCGGAUUGGAGUCUGCAACCCGACUCCAUGAAGCUGGAUUCGCUAGUAAUCGCGCAUCAGCCACGGCGCGGUGAAUACGUUCCCGGGCCUUGUACACACCGCCCGUCAAGCCAUGGGAGCCGGGGGUACCUGAAGUGCGUGACCGCAAGGAGCGCCCUAAGGUAAAACCGGUGACUGGGGCUAAGUCGUAACAAGGUAAC